AGGGAAUAUUGGGCAAUGGACGCAAGUCUGACCCAGCCAUGCCGCGUGCAGGAUGAAGGCCUUCUGGGUUGUAAACUGCUUUUAUCUAGGAAGAAAAUGUCCUUGCGAGGAAAACUGACGGUACUAGAUGAAUAAGCACCGGCUAACUCCGUGCCAGCAGCCGCGGUAAUACGGAGGGUGCAAGCGUUGUCCGGAUUUAUUGGGUUUAAAGGGUGCGUAGGCGGCCUUGUAAGUCAGUGGUGAAAGCCCAUCGCUCAACGAUGGAACUGCCAUUGAUACUGCAAGGCUUGAGUACAGACGAGGUUGGCGGAAUUGAUGGUGUAGCGGUGAAAUGCAUAGAUACCAUCAAGAACACCGAUUGCGAAGGCAGCUAACUAGGCUGUAACUGACGCUGAGGCACGAAAGCGUGGGGAGCGAA
rnacentral:rRNA from 1 species